rnacentral:rRNA from 1 species
AGUGAACGCUGGCGGUAGGCCUAACACAUGCAAGUCGAACGGCAGCACAGUAAGAGCUUGCUCUUACGGGUGGCGAGUGGCGGACGGGUGAGGAAUACAUCGGAAUCUACUUUUUCGUGGGGGAUAACGUAGGGAAACUUACGCUAAUACCGCAUACGACCUACGGGUGAAAGCAGGGGAUCUUCGGACCUUGCGCGAUCGAAUGAGCCGAUGUCGGAUUAGCUAGUUGGCGGGGUAAAGGCCCACCAAGGCGACGAUCCGUAGCUGGUCUGAGAGGAUGAUCAGCCACACUGGAACUGAGACACGGUCCAGACUCCUACGGGAGGCAGCAGUGGGGAAUAUAGGACAAUGGGCGCAAGCCUGGUCCAGCCAUACCGCGUGGGUGAAGAAGGCCUUCGGGUUGUAAAGCCCUUUUGUUGGGAAAGAAAAGCAGCAGGUUAAUACCCCGCUGUUCUGACGGUACCCAAAGAAUAAGCACCGGCUAACUUCGUG